UAGGGAAUAUUGGACAAUGGGUGCGAGCCUGAUCCAGCCAUGCCGCGUGCAGGAAGACGGCCUUCUGGGUUGUAAACUGCUUUUGCCAGGGGAUAAAAAGCCCAUGCGUGGGAAAUUGAAGGUACCUGGUGAAUAAGCCACGGCUAACUACGUGCCAGCAGCCGCGGUAAUACGUAGGUGGCAAGCGUUGUCCGGAUUUAUUGGGUUUAAAGGGUGCGUAGGUGGUCUAUUAAGUCAGUGGUGAAAUACGGCAGCUUAACUGUCGAGGUGCCAUUGAUACUGGUAGACUUGAGUACAGACGAGGUAGGCGGAAUUGACGGUGUAGCGGUGAAAUGCUUAGAUAUCGUCAAGAACACCGAUAGCGAAGGCAGCUUACUAGACUGUAACUGACACUGAGGCA
rnacentral:rRNA from 1 species